GCUUGUCUCAAAGAUUAAGCCAUGCAUGUCUCAGUACAAGCUAAACUAAAGUGAAACCGCGAAAGGCUCAUUAAAUCAGUUAUGGUUCCUUAGAUUGUACCACAAAAAUUUACUUGGAUAACUGUGGUAAUUCUAGAGCUAAUACAUGCAAACAGAGCUUUAACCAGAGAUGGAAAAAGUGCUUUUAUUUGAACAAAACCAAUCGGUGACGUGUUUCCAGUUUACUGGUUUCACAUAAUCACUGAAAUUUAUGAUGAGUCUGAAUAACUUUUUGCUGAUCGCAUGGUCUUGCACCGGCGACGUAUCUUUCAAAUGUCUGCCUUAUCAACUGUCGAUGGUAGGAUUUGCGCCUACCAUGGUUGUUACGGGUAACGGGGAAUCAGGGUUCGAUUCCGGAGAGGGAGCCUGAGAAACGGCUACCACAUCCAAGGAAGGCAGCAGGCGCGCAAAUUACCCAUUCCCAGCACGGGGAGGUAGUGACGAAAAAUAACGAUACGGGACUCAUCCGAGGCCCCGUAAUCGGAAUGAGUACACUUUAAAUCCUUUAACAAGGACCAAUUGGAGGGCAAGUCUGGUGCCAGCAGCCGCGGUAAUUCCAGCUCCAAUAGCGUAUAUUAAAGUUGUUGCGGUUAAAAAGCUCGUAGUUGAAUUUGUGUCUCGUGCUGUUGGUUCACCGCCCGCGGUGUUAACUAGCAUGUUCACGGGACGUCCUGCCGGUGGGUUGUUGGAGCUUUACAUCAUUUCUACCAUAUAAUACAAUAAAAAUAGUAUUAUUUUUAAUAAUUACUAUUUUUCAUAUGUGUGUGAGGGUGUUCUGUUGCACAAUCCGUUACUGCUUAUAACACAACAGUAAAAUCCUGUCGCGGUGCUCUUAAUUGAGUGUCGAGGCGGGCCGGCACGUUUACUUUGAACAAAUUAAAGUGCUCAAAGCAGGCUAAAAUUUUGCCUGAAUAUUGUCUGCAUGGAAUAAUGGAAGAGGACCUCGGUUCUAUUUUGUUGGUUUUCGGAACACCGAGGUAAUGAUUAAUAGGGACAGAUGGGGGCAUUCGUAUUGCGACGUUAGAGGUGAAAUUCUUGGAUCGUCGCAAGACGGACAGAAGCGAAAGCAUUUGCCAAAGAUGUUUUCAUUAAUCAAGAACGAAAGUCAGAGGUUCGAAGGCGAUCAGAUACCGCCCUAGUUCUGACCAUAAACGAUGCCAGCUAGCGAUCCGCCGACGUUCCUCCGAUGACUCGGCGGGCAGCUUCCGGGAAACCAAAGCUUUUGGGUUCCGGGGGAAGUAUGGUUGCAAAGCUGAAACUUAAAGGAAUUGACGGAAGGGCACCACCAGGAGUGGAGCCUGCGGCUUAAUUUGACUCAACACGGGAAACCUCACCAGGCCCAGACACCGGAAGGAUUGACAGAUUGAGAGCUCUUUCUUGAUUCGGUGGGUGGUGGUGCAUGGCCGUUCUUAGUUGGUGGAAUGAUUUGUCUGCUUAAUUGCGAUAACGAACGAGACUCUAGCCUGCUAACUAGGCGUUACUUACCGGUAUCUCGAAGGCUCGCGGCUCUUUGUUAUAACGUGGCCGUGCCAGUGUUAGGUAUUCAUAUACAAAAUUCUUGUAAUUGCGUAUUGGUGCCUUCCAUUGAACACGUAACCACGGUGCAAGAGUUUGCGGUUUUUACUACCGGCGUACAUAUAUAUCUUCUUAGAGGGACAGGCGUCUUCCAGACGCACGAGAUUGAGCAAUAACAGGUCUGUAAUGCCCUUAGAUGUUCUGGGCCGCACGCGCGCUACACUGAAGGAAUCAACGUGUCCUCCCUGGCCGAAAGGUCCGGGUAACCCGUUGAACCUCCUUCGUGCUAGGGAUUGGGGCUUGCAAUUGUUCCCCAUGAACGAGGAAUUCCCAGUAAGCGCGAGUCAUAAGCUCGCGCUGAUUAAGUCCCUGCCCUUUGUACACACCGCCCGUCGCUACUACCGAUUGAAUGAUUUAGUGAGGUCUUCGGACCGGCACACGAUGGUGUCUUCGAUACCAUUGAUGCCGCUGGGAAGAUGACCGAAC
rnacentral:rRNA from 1 species